CCUACGGGCGGCAGCAGUGGGGAAUAUUGCACAAUGGGGGAAACCCUGAUGCAGCAACGCCGCGUGAGUGAGGAAGUCUUUCGGUAUGUAAAGCUCUAUCAGCAGGGAAUAGAAAAGUAGGUACCUGAAAAAGAAGCCCCGGCUAACUACGUGCCAGCAGCCGCGGUAAUCCGUAGGGGGCAAGCGUUAUCCGGAUUUACUGGGCGGAAAGGGAGCGUAGGCGGAAAGGCAAGUCAGAAGUGAAAGCCCAAGGCUCAACCAUGGGACUGCUUUUGAAACUGUCAGACUAGAGUACGGGAGAGGUGAGAGGAAUGCCAAGUGUAGCGGUGAAAUGCGUAGAGAUUAGGAGGAACACCAGUGGCGAAGGCGUCUUACUGGACCGAAACUGACGUUGAGGCUCGAAAGCGUGGGGAGCAAACAGGAUUAGAUACCCUUGUAGUC
rnacentral:rRNA from 1 species